CUCCACAGUGUCUAUCUAGGUUUACAAUAGACAUUCAUUAUUACUUUUGAGCUUGGUGAAGUGCAAGAUUUUAAUUAUUUAAUGAAGACUGUGAAAACUCAAAAUAAGUUUUGAUACUGUUGAUAAAAACAAGGUUCAUUGUCUAAAACUUUCAACGUAAAGUAACUCGUUCUAUCUACAUCUAUCCUGUAUUCAAACCAAGAUGGAAAUGAAAUUUCAAGUUUUCAAAUUCAAGGAUGGAAAUUCAUUUGCUGAUGUAGAAAAUUUAUGACAUGAAUGUGACAGCUAUCUUCUGAAUAAUCAAGAUUACAUUCUGUCCAGUCAAUGACUGUUUUCUUAGUUCCGAGCACAUCUUGCAUUGACAUCGAUGACCUCGGAUAAAGAAUUAUUCUCAUGGGUCGUAUCAGCGUCC